rnacentral:lncRNA from 1 species
UAUGUGCGAGUAGGAGUGCACAUAAGCCGUUGCUGACCCGGCUAUGUGUGAGUGGGAGUGCACAUAAGCCGUUGUUGCCUCCAUAGCUUAUAGGGCUGGAUGCUUCGUGAUCUUCCACCCUAUGAGUGCUUUGAUAGGUAUGAUCUGUGGCGAAGUAUGACUCUCCGCCCAAGAGCUUGGAAGAGGAGGGAAGGGACUGCUCCGUUGCUUCGUGAUCCGGAGUGAAGUGCACCUCUUGCCGAGUGAAGGGGGGGAUGCUUC